UUAAUACAUGGCCUCAAAAUCUGGAAGACGAAAGUCAUUCAUUGAUACAAGUUUGUUUGCUGUGUUCCCUCCCUGUCAUUUAAACCCGCCAUUCGCUAAGUAAUUAUGGAUAAAAUUGUUGAUCUUCUCUUGUACGGUUUGGUUCAAGCACUUGUGUUUAUGGAGAAAAUUUACACUAGCUUGCACCCGUGGUCAAACAUUUAGGACAAAAAUGCACCUGCUGCAUGGCCUAUUCCUUCAAUUUGUGCAGUAAGAUAAUGUGAUGAAUCAUUCAUUCAUAUAUUCAUAUAUGUGUUCAGAUGCUUCUUUCCAAACAUAUAAAAUGUCUUCAGAUGCAUGUCUUCAGUUCAUGUUUUUCAUUUUUUCUUGGGACAGAAAAGUAGUAUGUAAUGCACGUAUCUCCAGAUGAGAUAGGAGAUAGAUAUAUUUAUGUGUCAGAUACUACUGUCUGACUAUUUGUGGUAAUAAGUAUUGGUGUUAAGUAGAAUCUCCAUUUUUGUUCCCAUCAUAGGACCAUUAAACAGUCCGAUGCGAGCCAUAUAUUUGAUAUUAAGCAAGUUGUCUGUGGAUGUUCAAUACCCACCUAAUUUGAGCUCCCCGUUUCCUUAUGCAGGUACCAAAACAACAAGGUUCUUUCCUGAUGUCCUGCUUAUUGGAGGGGGGGGAUGAUGUAGCAUCCAUCACUAGUAGGCCAAGGGUGGUUGAUACAUGUCUUCACAUUUUUCAGAGCAACAUGCAGUGGAAGAAGCAGCCUAUGAACUGAAAUAGUUUGCAUAAGAAAUAGGCGAUGUACUCAGCCACCUACUACACAUGGAUGUGAUGACUUCGGAGUGUUCUGCAGCAUUUGGCUGUUUGCAGUAUUUUGGACCAGCCAACUUGUGGUCAUGAAUCUUAUGUCUGUUUUGGACCAUUUGGUGCUUCAAGUGUUUUGGAGCAUAUAUCUUGUGCUCAUGGGUGUGAUAUAAGUGUUUUGGUUCAUUUAAUGUUAGAACUCUUUUAGAACAGCAAAUAGUGGUCCCUUUAUGUGGCUUGUGUUUUCUCGAUGGUGGUCAAAAUGGCCAAACUUUGCUAUGUAAGGACUGUCUUGUUUUUGAACUUCUGAUCAAUAUAUAUAUGUAUGUUUGUGAACAUA